rnacentral:rRNA from 1 species
AUGAAGCCGAACUUGUGGGAUUUUCCAUCAUUUGUUAGGAUGGAGUUUCUCAAAGUUAUAAUUAGAGAACUUUUUGGCGAUGAAGUAUUGAAGAACCAACUUGAAGGGAAUGCAGUGCGAGAAGAGAACCUCGCCAACUAUCUGAGGAAAGAGCUAUUUGAGAAGAGGUACUUUGUUGUUCUUGAUGAUUUGUGGAACAAAGAUGAUUGGAAUUGGAUCAAAACUAUUGCUUUUCCUAUUGGAAACAACAAAGGUAGCCGGAUAAUGGUAACAACACGAGAUGUUAGCUUAGCUGAGGAAUGUAUCCCUGAAUCUUCUAGGCCAUUUCUAUACCACCAUAAACCCCUAGAAACAGAAGAUGCCUUAAAUUUGCUACUAUUGAAGAGUAGAAAAAGUAAGGAAGACAUGAAAAAUGACGAGGAUAUGAGGAAAGUAAUUCCUAAGAUAGUUAAAAAGUCAGGAUGUUUACCCCUAGCUAUACUCACUAUAGGAGGCUUGCUUGCCACCAGAGCGGUUAGUGAGUGGCAAGGUAUUUAUAACCAAAUCCCCUUAGAGCUAGAGCAAAACAGAAGCCUUGAAGCAAUGAGGAGGAUGGUAACUCUGGGUUACAACCACUUGCCUUCUCAUCUUAAGUCAUGUUUUUUGUAUUUAAGCAUAUUUCCGGAGGAUUUUGAAAUCAGAAGGAGGCGUCUGGUAGAAAGAUGGAUAGCCGAGGGGUUUGUUAUAGCCAGGGAUGGGGUCAGCAUCGAGAAUGUUGGGAACGGUUACUUUAAUGAGCUAAUCAACCGAAGCAUGAUUAUGCCAUCAAUACCCAACAUAGAAGGAAUUGUGAAGAGCUGUCGAGUUCAUGAUAUCGUUUGCGAUGUCAUGAUCUCAAUUUCUAGAGAUGAAAAUUUUGCAUGCUCAACUUGGGAUAAUGCAACGGGCAUAGUAGGAGAUAACUUCCGCCAUGUAGCAUACCUGGGCAAUUGGAGCCCAAAUAAAGGCUUGGACUGGAAUCAUGUCCGAUCAUUAACUGUGUUUGGUGAGAGACCUGUGAAACCGGCACCUUCACUUUGUUCGUCCGACUUU